AAAAAAAAAAAGAAAGAGGCUGGUGGGUUGGUUGGUUGGUUUUUUUUUUUCAGUAAAAUUAAUCCCGGCUGUUGUGCUGCUGAUGCUUCCUCGCCACCGCCACCAUCAUCAUCUUCAUCCUUCGGGGGGUCUUCUCCUCCUCCUGCUGCCUCCUCACCGCCGCCAUCAGCCUCUUCCUCCUCGGCGCCGUUCUCCUCCUCCUCAUCGCCACAAGGAGGCGGGCGAAGGAGGGGAGAGGAGGAGGAAAAAAGAAAAAAAGAUCACCGUCCUCUAGCAGCGGCUCCUUCCCCCUCCAACACCACCCUGCAAAAAAAUACCCACCGCCCGCGACAGGGCUGGGGGGGAGGCGGCGGGGAGAGAGGCAAGGCGUGCGCGGGGUCCCCAGCUCCACUCGCUUCUUCCUCGCCCGUCGCUAAUGGCUGCAGAACAGGGAGCUGUAAGGAUGAGGAGGGUGAGGAUAAGUCCCAGGAGUCUCCGCUUCACAUCUUGUUGUGCAGGGAAGGAGGAGGGGUUGUUGUCCUGAUGGAGGCAGCACCGAUCGCGGGAUGGGAAGGUGGGGGGCGGGUUUCAACACCCUCUCUGCGCCCCCCCCCCCGCCCCGCUCUUCUUCUCUUCUUUCCCCUUCCUCUUUCUCUCGCUCUCAGUAGCAGGCUACCCCCCCCUCCGGUGCAGGCAGAGGGAGGAGGAGGAGGAGGAGGAGGAAGAAGCAGCCGGCCCCUCCCCUCCCCCCCCUCUGCCUACCUUCCCCCCUCCCGGGCGGCCGACGAUGGCUGCGAGCGCCGGGCAGGGAGGGGGGCUACCCGUCUCCGCUCCCGCGGACCCACGGGCAAUGCGGGGGGAGGAAAAACCUGGGCCGCUGCUGGGGCGCGGCGGGGACUCCCUCUUCGCCUCGGCGAGGGUGGGGAAGGAAGCGAAGAGGGCGCCCGUGGGGAUCUCUCCCGCCACCCACCCUCACAGCUGAGCUCUCCCUAAUCCUGUGCCUGAGAACCGAAGGAGGUAUUUGGGAAGAGCCUAGCCUAAACACCGGAAUAAACACCGCAGGCGAUGAGAGAAGGCA
rnacentral:lncRNA from 1 species